AUUGAACGCUGGCGGCAGGCCUAACACAUGCAAGUCGAGCGGCUGAAGGGUGCUUGCUUCUGGAUUCAGCGGCGGACGGGUGAGUAAUGCCUAGGAAUCUGCCUGGCAGUGGGGGAUAACGUCCGGAAACGGGCGCUCAUACCGCAUACGUCCAGAGGGAGAAAGUGGGGGAUCUUCGGACCUCACGCUAUCAGAUGAGCCUAGGUCGGAUUAGCUAGUUGGUGGGGUAAAGGCCUACCAAGGCGACGAUCCGUAACUGGUCUGAGAGGAUGAUCAGUCACACUGGAACUGAGACACGGUCCAGACUCCUACGGGAGGCAGCAGUGGGGAAUAUUGGACAAUGGGCGAAAGCCUGAUCCAGCCAUGCCGCGUGUGUGAAGAAGGUCUUCGGAUUGUAAAGCACUUUAAGUGGGGAGGAAGGGCAGUAGGUUAAUACCUUGCUGUUUUGACGUUACCAACAGAAUAAGCACCGGCUAACUUCGUG
rnacentral:rRNA from 1 species